rnacentral:rRNA from 1 species
AUGUACAUGCCUACAACAUAGCGUUAAUGCAUUGUAUCCCAUUAGAACUUCGCAAUUAAGCACGCUUGGGCUUGAGUAGUACUGAGAUGGGUGGCCGCUUGGGAAGUCCUAGUAUUUUACAUC